rnacentral:rRNA from 1 species
AGCGAACGCUGGCGGCAGGCUUAACACAUGCAAGUCGAGCGGGCGUAGCAAUACGUCAGCGGCAGACGGGUGAGUAACGCGUGGGAACGUACCUUUUGGCUCGGAACAACACAGGGAAACUUGUGCUAAUACCGGAUAAGCCCUUACGGGGAAAGAUUUAUCGCCGAAAGAUCGGCCCGCGUCUGAUUAGCUAGUUGGUAGGGUAAUGGCCUACCAAGGCGACGAUCAGUAGCUGGUCUGAGAGGAUGAUCAGCCACAUUGGGACUGAGACACGGCCCAAACUCCUACGGGAGGCAGCAGUGGGGAAUAUUGGACAAUGGGGGCAACCCUGAUCCAGCCAUGCCGCGUGAGUGAUGAAGGCCCUAGGGUUGUAAAGCUCUUUUGUGCGGGAAGAUAAUGACGGUACCGCAAGAAUAAGCCCCGGCUAACUUCGUGCCAGCCGCCGCAGUAA